GAGGGGACAGCUCAGGGGCAGAGCACGUGCUUAGCGUGCAUGAGGUCCUGGGUUCAACCCCCUCGUUCCUCCA
rnacentral:tRNA from 1 species